AUUGAACGCUAGCGGCAGGCUUAACACAUGCAAGUCGAGCGAGCGGCGGACGGGUGAGUAAUGUCUGGGAACCUGCCUGAUGGCGGGGGAUAACUACUGGAAACGGUAGCUAAUACCGCAUACCAUCAGAUGUGCCCAGAUGGGAUUAGCUAGUAGGUGGGGUAAUGGCUCACCUAGGCGACGAUCCCUAGCUGGUCUGAGAGGAUGACCAGCCACACUGGGACUGAGACACGGCCCAGACUCCUACGGGAGGCAGCAGUGGGGAAUAUUGCACAAUGGGCGAAAGCCUGAUGCAGCCAUCCCGCGUGUGUGAUGAAGGCCUUCGGGUUGUAAAGCACUUUUAGCGAGGAGGCGUUAUUCGCAGAAGAAGCACCGGCUAACUCCGUGCCAGCAGCCGCGGUAAUAC
rnacentral:rRNA from 1 species